rnacentral:rRNA from 1 species
ACUUUCGGCGUAUGCGAUGUGCAUUGCCGAGCGCAGUCCUCAAUCCCGGCUAACAGUAUUCCAAAAAGCUAUAACACUACCGAAUAACUACCUUCCUAAUGAAUUAUCCCGGUGGCCGAAUUGAAGUUGGGCCCAGGAAAUUUUUGAAAAGGCCCAGCCCCCCAAAAGGGAAUGGCUGGCAAAAACACCCUGGCUGAACCAAUGGCCCUCCCUUUCCACAAUUUCCCGUACUUUUUCACUCUCUUUUCAAAAUUCUUUUCCUCCUUCCCUCCCUGGACUUGGUCCCUAUCCGUCUCCCCCCCAUAUUUAACUUUAAAAGGAAAUUACCCCCCCCUUUGAACUGGAUUCCCCAACCACUCCACUCCUCCAAAAAAUCCUACCGAAAAAAAGGAUCCCCCCCCAACGGGAAUCCCCCCCUCCAUGAACUCCUGGUCCCAGGAACAUAAACCAAGGCCCAAUCCAAAAACAAUUCCACCAAUUACCACUCCGGGACUGGAAGUACCCAAAUUCCAAUUUGAACUUUUACCGCUUCACUCCCCCUUACCAAAGGAAUCCCCAUUGGGUUCCUUUCCUCCCCUUAUGGGAUUUGCAA